rnacentral:rRNA from 1 species
CUACGGGCCGCAGCAGUGAGGAAUAUUGCACAAUGGAGGAAACUCUGAUGCAGCAACGCCGCGUGGAGGAUGACGCAUUUCGGUGUGUAAACUCCUUUUAUAUGUCAAGAAAAUGACGGUAGUAUAUGAAUAAGCACCGGCUAACUCCGUGCCAGCAGCCGCGGUAAUACGGAGGGUGCAAGCGUUACUCGGAAUCACUGGGCGUAAAGGACGCGUAGGCGGGAUAUCAAGUCAGGUGUGAAAUCCUACAGCUUAACUGUAGAACUGCACUUGAAACUGGUAACCUAGAGUAUGGGAGGGGGAGAUGGAAUUAGUGGUGUAGGGGUAAAAUCCGUAGAUAUCACUAGGAAUACCUAAAGCGAAGGCGAUCUCCUGGAACAUAACUGACGCUAAGGCGUGAAAGCGUGGGGAGCAAACAGGAUUAGAUACCCUUGUAGUC